CGAUGAACCCCUUCGGUGGGGAUUAGUGGCGAACGGGUGAGUAACACGUGGGCAAUCUGCCCUGCACUCUGGGACAAGCCCUGGAAACGGGGUCUAAUACCGGAUACGAGUUCUACGGGCAUCCGUGGGACUGGAAAGCUCCGGCGGUGCAGGAUGAGCCCGCGGCCUAUCAGCUUGUUGGUGAGGUAGUGGCUCACCAAGGCGACGACGGGUAGCCGGCCUGAGAGGGCGACCGGCCACACUGGGACUGAGACACGGCCCAGACUCCUACGGGAGGCAGCAGUGGGGAAUAUUGCACAAUGGGCGAAAGCCUGAUGCAGCGACGCCGCGUGAGGGAUGACGGCCUUCGGGUUGUAAACCUCUUUCAGCAGGGAAGAAGCGAAAGUGACGGUACCUGCAGAAGAAGCGCCGGCUAACUACGUGCCAGCAGCCGCGGUAAUACGUAGGGCGCAAGCGUUGUCCGGAAUUAUUGGGCGUAAAGAGCUCGUAGGCGGCUUGUCGCGUCGGUUGUGAAAGCCCGGGGCUUAACCCCGGGUCUGCAGUCGAUACGGGCAGGCUAGAGUUCGGUAGGGGAGAUCGGAAUUCCUGGUGUAGCGGUGAAAUGCGCAGAUAUCAGGAGGAACACCGGUGGCGAAGGCGGAUCUCUGGGCCGAUACUGACGCUGAGGAGCGAAAGCGUGGGGAGCGAACAGGAUUAGAUACCCUGGUAGUCCACGCCGUAAACGGUGGGCACUAGGUGUGGGCAACAUUCCACGUUGUCCGUGCCGCAGCUAACGCAUUAAGUGCCCCGCCU
rnacentral:rRNA from 1 species